rnacentral:rRNA from 1 species
GACGAACGCUGGCGGCGUGCUUAACACAUGCAAGUCGAACGGAAAGACGCGGCUUUUGUGGGGUUCUCGAGUGGCGAACGGGUGAGUAACACGUGUGUAACCUCCCCUUGACUUUGUGAUAACUCCACGAGACUGGGGCGAAUAUCGGAGAGAAGCUCCUGAUCCGUGGGGGUGGUUGGAAAGUUUCGGCUGUUUUGGAUGGACUGGCGGGUUAUCAGCUAGUUUGUCGGGUAGUGGCUUACCAAGGCUUUGACGGGUAGCCGGCCUGGGAGGGUGAACGGGCACAUUGGGCCUGCGGUACGGCCCAGAAUGCUACGGGCGGCAGCAGUGGAGAAUAUUGCACAGUGGGGGGACGUCUGAUGCAGCGACGUCGCGUGCGGGAUGCCGGGCUUCGGGGGGUAAACAGAUUUCGACUGUGACGAAGCGUGAGUGACGGUACUGGGUCAAGAAGCCCCGGCUAACUACGUG